AUGAACGCUGGCGGCGUGCUUAACCCCUGCAAGUCGAACGGAAAGGCUCCUGCUUGCAGGGGUACUCGAGUGGCGAACGGGUGAGUAACACGUGGGUGAUCUGCCCUGCACUUCGGGAUAAGCCUGGGAAACUGGGUCUAAUACCGGAUAGGACGAUGGUUUGGAUGCCAUUGUGGAAAGUUUUUCGGUGUGGGAUGAGCUCGCGGCCUAUCAGCUUGUUGGUGGGGUAAUGGCCUACCAAGGCGUCGACGGGUAGCCGGCCUGAGAGGGUGUACGGCCACAUUGGGACUGAGAUACGGCCCAGACUCCUACGGGAGGCAGCAGUGGGGAAUAUUGCACAAUGGGCGCAAGCCUGAUGCAGCGACGCCGCGUGGGGGAUGACGGCCUUCGGGUUGUAAACUCCUUUCGCUAGGGACGAAGCGCAAGUGACGGUACCUGGAGAAGAAGCACCGGCUAACUACGUG
rnacentral:rRNA from 1 species